rnacentral:rRNA from 1 species
CCUACGGGUGGCAGCAGUGAGGAAUAUUGGUCAAUGGACGAGAGUCUGAACCAGCCAAGUAGCGUGAAGGAUGACUGCCCUCUGGGUUGUAAACUUCUUUUAUAUGGGAAUAAAACGUUCCACGUGUGGGAUUUUGUAUGUACCAUAUUCAUAAGGAUCGGCUAACUCCGUGCCAGCAGCCGCGGUAAUAAGGAUGAUCCGAGCGUUAGCCGGAUUUAUUGGGUUUAAAGGGAGCGUAGGUGGAUUGUUAAGUCAGUUGUGAAAGUUUGCGGCUUAACCGUAAAAUUGCAGUUGAAACUGGCAGUCUUGAGUACAGUAGAGGUGGGCGGAAUUCGUGGUGUAGCGGUGAAAUGCUUAGAUAUCACGAAGAACUCCGAUUGCGAAGGCAGUUCACUGGACUGCAACUGACACUGAGGCUCGAAAGUGUGGGUAUCAAACAGGAUUAGAUACCCCUGUAGUC